rnacentral:rRNA from 1 species
GACGAACGCUGGCGGCGUGCUUAACACAUGCAAGUCGAACGGAAAGGCCCUGCUUUUGUGGGGUGCUCGAGUGGCGAACGGGUGAGUAACACGUGAGUAACCUGCCCUUGACUUUGGGAUAACUUCAGGAAACUGGGGCUAAUACCGGAUAGGAGCUCCUGCUGCAUGGUGGGGGUUGGAAAGUUUCGGCGGUUGGGGAUGGACUCGCGGCUUAUCAGCUUGUUGGUGGGGUAGUGGCUUACCAAGGCUUUGACGGGUAGCCGGCCUGAGAGGGUGGCCGGCCACAUUGGGACUGAGAUACGGCCCAGACUCCUACGGGAGGCAGCAGUGGGGAAUAUUGCACAAUGGGUGGAAGCCUGAUGCAGCAACGCCGUGUGCGGGAUGACGGCCUUCGGGUUGUAAACCGCUUUCGCUCAUGACGAAGCUUUGUGUGACGGUAGUGGGUAAAGAAGCACCGGCUAACUACGUG